UUUCCGUAGGUGAACCUGCGGAAGGAUCAUUACUGAGUGAGGGCCCUCUGGGUCCAAUCUCCCACCCGUGUUUAUUAUACCUUGUUGCUUCGGUGAGCCCGCCUCACGGCCGCCGGGGGGCAUCUUCCCCCGGGCCCGCGCCCACCGAAGACACCUAGAACUCUGUAUGAAGAUUGCAGUCUGAGCAAAAACUAAAUAAGUUAAAACUUUCAACAACGGAUCUCUUGGUUCCG
rnacentral:misc_RNA from 1 species